rnacentral:lncRNA from 1 species
ACUUACCAGUGAAAGAGCUGAGAACCGAUUGCCUUCUGUGAACAACUUUGGACUUCAGCAUUGUGGUGGUAUGGGAUAUGAAAGCAAUUUUCAGGAAUGAAUCAGGAACUUUGGACUGACAUCACAUGGGCCUUCCAGGCCUACAAGGGAAAGAGAAGAGAAAAAGGAACAGAGGGAGUGUUAACACAUGAGAGGAAGAGAACGCACAGUAUCUUGAACUUUCAAGUCUCCUUUUUCUUCUUUUUGCCACUCAGUCAAAGUUGUAUUCAAGUUCUGAAUGUAAAAAGAUUCUCAUCUUCUGUACCGAUGGAUGCAAUAUGUGUCUGAGUCUUUCAGACAAAUCAGAAUGGAGGAUCCUGCGCUUGGAUAGACUGGUUUCUCAUCAGUUGAAGCUCAAAUAAUUCACACCGUGUUCUUCUCGACGUCCUCAAUGCUGCCUGUACUGAAGCACGGUUCACUUCAGGGACUUGUCAUGGCACAAAAAGGGAAACUAUUACUGGAAAGCAGUUCAGAGGAAGCUUUGGGAAAAUGGGGGUGUUUGGCUUUUUAAAAUACAGUUCUUAUGAAGUGCUGUGACAGCUUACAAGGAUCAGAUUGAAGCUUUUUUCAGGGAAAACAUCUCAGCAGUCCUAGAAGCAAGUGUUUUACUUCAGUUCAACAUUCAGUCUUUAACUAAACAUUUUCUUUUUCUGAUUUGCUUUUAUGUGAUUGAUAUCUUUAUUUUUAUUUACUUUUUUUUCCCCUCCAAAGACAUCAACAUUGGAAAUAAUUAAAACUGGAGAUAACCUUCAUUCCCACAUGUACCACCAUUUUUGAUGGGGGAGAAGAAAAGUUUUGGUCUGUUCUUUCCACCAGCCUAAUACACAAUUUUGCAGCUGUGUUAAUGCACAAGCGUAUACAGAUAUGAAGAGCCCUAGUUCGCUGAUAUGCUCAAGGAGGCUCCAAGCAUUAAAGAUAAGCUGUUGCAUUUUACUCUGCUAUAAAACACUGACAAACAUUUCUCAGCACAAUAAAAAGAGAGAUGAGUAAAUGUGGUUUGUAUUU